UAGAUUAUGAAAGAUAGAAAAAGAAAGAGAGAAACAAAGUUAGUUAGAACAGAGAAGUGAAUAGAUCGCUUCACUCACACAGAAAAAAAAAAAACCCGAACCGACAAUGGCCUCACCAGCGGCGGCGAGGUCGCCGGCAACAUCCGCCGCUACUCCACUUCAACGUCUCUCCACCUUCAAACACCCAACCACAACCACCACCGCUUCCUCCGCACUCGAUUCCCUAGCUUCCGAUCCCAUCUUCUCCGCAUUUCUCUCCCCAUCAUUCUCCUCAACAACUUUCUCCGCCGCCGCACUUUCCUCCGGUUCCCCUGCCUCCACCGCCGAAAAACUCCACCACGCAAUCGGCCUCCUCGAGAAUCAGCUCCGUUCCGAAGUCCUCUCUCGUCACGAUGAACUCCUCUCGCAACUCUCAUCUCUCCACCACGCCGAUCACGCUCUCUCAACACUCCGAUCUGCUCUCUCUUCCCUCCAAUCCUCCCUCCGCCGUCUCCGAUCCGAACUCUCCGAUCCACAUCGUUCAAUUGCAUCCAAAACCGCACAGCUUUCCAACCUCCAUCGUACCACUGAGCUUCUCCAACACUCCGUUCGGGCACUUCGUCUUUCGAAGAAGCUUCGAGAUCUAAUGGCUGCUGAACCUGAAAAACUCGAUCUUGCUAAGGCUGCACAGCUUCACUCUGAGAUUAUCAGCCUAUGCAAUGAAUAUGAUCUAACCGGAAUCGAUGUUGUCGAUGAAGAGCUUCGUUGGGUUAGGGAAAGUGGAGAUCGGUUAAGGAAUGAAGCAAUGAAGGUUCUGGAAAGUGGAAUGGAAGGGUUGAAUCAAGCAGAAGUUGGUACUGGAUUGCAGGUUUUCUAUAAUCUUGGUGAAUUGAAGGUUACUGUGGAGCAAGUGAUUAAUAAGUAUAAGGGCAUGGGUGCGAAGAGUGUGAGUGUAGCGUUGGAUAUGAAGGCGAUUACUGGAUCGAGUGGAAGUGGGUUUGGACCGGGUGGAAUUAGGGGUACUGGAACUCCUCAGAUUGGAGGAGGAGCUAAGGCUAGAGAAGCUUUAUGGCAGAGAUUGGGGAAUUGUAUGGAUCAAUUGCAUUCUAUUACUGUGGCUGUGUGGCAUUUGCAGAGAGUGCUUUCGAAAAAACGCGAUCCAUUUACGCAUGUUUUGUUGCUUGAUGAAGUCAUUCAGGAAGGUGAUCCUAUGCUUACGGAUCGAGUCUGGGAGGCCAUCGCAAAAGCUUUUGCAAGCCAGAUGAAAUCUGCUUUCACUGCUUCAAGUUUUGUUAAAGAGAUUUUUACUAUGGGAUAUCCAAAGCUUUACUCCAUGCUAGAGAAUCUCCUUGAAAAAAUUUCACGUGACACAGAUGUCAAAGGAGUUUUACCAGCUAUUACUUCUGCUGGCAAAGAGCAGAUAGUUUCAGCUGUCGAAAUAUUCCAGUCUGCAUUUUUGGGUCACUGCCUGGGUCGUCUUUCAGAUCUAGUGAAUAAUGUAUUUCCAAUGUCUAGUCGUGGAAGUGUUCCCUCCAGGGAACAAAUAUCGAGAAUAAUAUCACGUAUUCAGGAAGAGAUAGAAGCUGUUCAGGUGGAUGCACGCCUUACUCUUCUUGUUUUGCGUGAAAUUGGCAAGGUUUUGCUUCUUUUUGCUGAGCGAGCUGAAUACCAGAUAUCUACUGGCCCUGAAUCACGUCAAGUAAGUGGCCCUGCAACACCAGCACAGCUCAAGAACUUUACACUGUGCCAACAUCUACAAGAUGUUCAUUCACGAAUAUCAUCUAUGAUUAAUGGAAUGCCAAGUAUUGCUGCAGAAGUGUUAUCUGCUUCGCUGGGUGCAAUAUAUGGCGUUGCCUGUGACUCAGUAACGCCUUUAUUCCAGUCAAUGCUCGAUCGUCUUGAGUCUUGUAUAUUGCAAAUACACGAUCAUAAUUUUGGAAUGCUUGGAAUGGAUGCUGCUAUGGACAACAACGCAUCACCUUACAUGGAGGAGCUCCAAAAAUGUAUUCUUCACUUCCGCAGUGAGUUUCUAUCUAGGUUGUUGCCUUCCAGAAAAACUGCAACACCGGGAAUUGAAAACAUAUGCACCAGGCUUGUCCAGAGUAUGGCUUCCCGUGUUCUGGUAUUCUUCAUUCGGCAUGCCUCUCUUGUCAGACCACUUUCAGAAUCAGGGAAAUUGAGAAUGGCUAGAGAUAUGGCUGAAUUGGAGUUAGCCGUGGGUCAAAAUUUGUUCCCUGUUGAACAACUUGGUGCCCCAUAUCGAGCACUUAGAGCAUUUCGUCCACUUAUAUUCUUGGAAACAUCCCAGCUUGCAUCAUCUCCCCUUCUUCAAGAUCUACCACCAAAUGUCAUACUUCAUCAUCUGUAUACCCGUGGUCCUGAAGAAUUGCAGUCACCUCUGCAAAGAAACAAACUGACUCCAAUGCAGUAUUCAUUGUGGCUUGAUUCUCAAGGAGAAGAUCAAAUCUGGAAGGGCAUUAAAGCAACACUCGAUGAUUAUGCUGCAAAUGUGAGGAGUAGACGAGAUAAGGAGUUUAGCCCUGUUUAUCCUCUUAUGAUUCAACUGGGUUCGUCGUUGACCGAAAAGACUAAGGCUUCCUCGAACUCUUGAUCCAGUAAAUAAUUUGUUGUCUAGCAAAUUAAAUCACAUCUGUAACUCCCCAGAUUGUUUUUUGAAAGUUGUUAGAAAGGGUUUAGUUGCGGAAACAUGAGGAAGAGGCCUGCUAGUUCUGCUGGUAUGCACGAGUACCCUUCAUGCUAUUCAGCUGUGGUGACUACUGGUGCGGAUAAAUUUCACCACUAUGCUAACCUUCUGAUGACCAUUAAAGACUACCUAUAAAAAGAUUGACAUGUUAGUUUGUGUGAUACUCUUCGGGAAGGGAAUCAUUGUGCUGAUAUUCUAGCUAAAAUUGGAGCUAAUGACCUACAUCAUUUGGUACUGGCAUGCAUACUAUCGAGAUUCUGUUGGGGCAACGAGAGGUGACACUGAAAAGGCAUUUUGUUCAUAAUUGGCAACAAGUGUGGUAUGGGAAGUCUUAGAGCAGUGCAAAAGGAAGAUACUGAGUUGUUCAGAUGGAGAGAACAUCUUCAUUAUGAAAACAUCAUUUCUUCAGAUUUAAUGCAUAUGGAUUUUUCUUUCGGCUUUGUAUUUAACAUGUUUCGUGUACUAUAAAGAUUGAAUUUAUUUGAAUUUCAAAAAAUGAUAUAUUAACUGAAUUGAAUUUUGACCCUUUCAUUUUCAAGCAA